GCCGCGGUGGCGGAACGGCAUACGCGAAGGACUUAAAAUCCUUUAGGGAAUUAUCCCUGUGUGGGUUCGAAUCCCACCCGCGGCAC
rnacentral:tRNA from 1 species